GAUGAACGCUGGCGGCGUGCCUAAUACAUGCAAGUCGAGCGAACGGACGAGAAGCUUGCUGCUCUGAUGUUAGCGGCGGACGGGUGAGUAACACGUGGAUAACCUACCUAUAAGACUGGGAUAACUUCGGGAAACCGGAGCUAAUACCGGAUAAUAUUUUGAACCGCAUGGUUCAAAAGUGAAAGACGGUCUUGCUGUCACUUAUAGAUGGAUCCGCGCUGCAUUAGCUAGUUGGUAAGGUAACGGCUUACCAAGGCAACGAUGCAUAGCCGACCUGAGAGGGUGAUCGGCCACACUAGAACUGAGACACGGUCCAGACUCCUACGGGAGGCAGCAGUAGGGAAUCUUCCGCAAUGGGCGAAAGCCUGACGGAGCAACGCCGCGUGAGUGAUGAAGGUCUUCGGAUCGUAAAACUCUGUUAUUAGGGAAGAACAUAUGUGUAAGUAACUGUGCACAUCUUGACGGUACCUAAUCAGAAAGCCACGGCUAACUACGUG
rnacentral:rRNA from 1 species